rnacentral:rRNA from 1 species
UUACUCCUACCGGGAGGCAGCAGUGGGGAAUAUUGCACAAUGGGCGCAAGCCUGAUGCAGCCAUGCCGCGUGUGUGAAGAAGGCCUUCGGGUUGUAAAGCACUUUCAGUCGUGAGGAAGGUGGUAGUGUUAAUAGCACUAUCAUUUGACGUUAGCGACAGAAGAAGCACCGGCUAACUCCGUGCCAGCAGCCGCGGUAAUACGGAGGGUGCGAGCGUUAAUCGGAAUUACUGGGCGUAAAGCGCAUGCAGGUGGUUUGUUAAGUCAGAUGUGAAAGCCCGGGGCUCAACCUCGGAAUAGCAUUUGAAACUGGCAGACUAGAGUACUGUAGAGGGGGGUAGAAUUUCAGGUGUAGCGGUGAAAUGCGUAGAGAUCUGAAGGAAUACCGGUGGCGAAGGCGGCCCCCUGGACAGAUACUGACACUCAGAUGCGAAAGCGUGGGGAGCAAACAGGAUUAGAUACCCUGGUAGUCCACGCCGUAAACGAUGUCUACUUGGAGGUUGUGGCCUUGAGCCGUGGCUUUCGGAGCUAACGCGUUAAGUAGACCGCCUGGGGAGUACGGUCGCAAGAUUAAAACUCAAAUGAAUUGACGGGGGCCCGCACAAGCGGUGGAGCAUGUGGUUUAAUUCGAUGCAACGCGAAGAACCUUACCUACUCUUGACAUCCAGAGAACUUCCAGAGAUGG